rnacentral:rRNA from 1 species
CACCUCUAGCAUAACAAGUAUUAGAGGCAUUGCCUGCCCAGUGACUGUAGUUAAACGGCCGCGGUAUCCUGACCGUGCAAAGGUAGCAUAAUCACUUGUUCCUUAAUUAGGGACUUGCAUGAACGGCUAAACGAGGGUCCAACUGUCUCUUAUUUUUGAUCAGUGAAAUUGACCUUCCAGUGAAGAGGCUGGAAUCCUAAAAUAAGACGAGAAGACCCUAUGGAGCUUAAAUUAAUAACUUAUAUGAAUAUCUUCCAUAAACCUAAUGGAAUAAAAACAGAAAUAAUAAGCUUAAAAUUUUGGUUGGGGUGACCUCGGAGAACAGAAAAUCCUCCGAACGAUUAUAACAUAGACCAACAAGUCAAAGUAAACCAAUUUUCCAAUUGACCCAAAAAUUUGAUCAACGGACCAAGUUACCCUAGGGAUAACAGCGCAAUCCUAUUUAAGAGUCCAUAUCGACAAUAGGGUUUACGACCUCGAUGUUGGAUCAGGACAUCCCAAUGGUGCAGAAGCUAUUAAUGGUUCGUUUGUUCAACG